AUUGAACGCUGGCGGAAUGCUUUACACAUGCAAGUCGAACGGCAGCACGGGGGUAACCCUGGUGGCGAGUGGCGAACGGGUGAGUAAUACAUCGGAACGUGCCCAAUCGUGGGGGAUAACGUAGCGAAAGCUACGCUAAUACCGCAUACGAUCUACGGAUGAAAGCGGGGGAUCGCAAGACCUCGCGCGAUUGGAGCGGCCGAUGGCAGAUUAGGUAGUUGGUGAGGUAAAAGCUCACCAAGCCAACGAUCUGUAGCUGGUCUGAGAGGACGACCAGCCACACUGGGGACUGAGACACGGCCCCAGACUCCUACGGGAGGCAGCAGUGGGGAAUUUUUGGGACAAUGGGCGAAAGCCUGAUCCAGCCAUUCCGCGUGCAGGAUGAAGGCCCUCGGGUUGUAAGCUGCUUUUGUACGGAACGAAACGCGCUGAGUUAAUACCUCGGCGUAAAUGACGGUACCGUAAGAAUAAAGCACCGGGCUAAACUACGU
rnacentral:rRNA from 1 species